rnacentral:lncRNA from 1 species
CUUUUCGGCCGCGGCGCGUGACUGGGCUUGGUGGAGUUUCAAGAUGCUGAUGAACUUAAGGUCUGGCGCUUGAAAGAAUCAGUGAAGCUUUUCAAGUAGAGGAGGUUCUAGAUGAAUGACUGAUGAAGACACAACAGCACGGUGGUGAGGCCAUUGAAUGCUUCUAAGACUGCACUUGGCAACAUCACAAGCUGCAGAAUCCCGUGCCACAUAUGACCUGCUGUUCACCGGUUCUUGCCAGGAUCACACCUGAGAAGAGGAAGAUAAUGGAGAUGGAAGACUUGGGAUGCUCAGGGUCCUGCUAGCCUUCAAACUGCAGGACUCUGAGCAUCCCAAGUCUUACCAUGAGUUGCUAAAAGAGAACCAGACCCAUGUUUAUCCCUUUGAAAGAAACCUGAACCAAGCCAUUCCUCUGGACUGUUCUUCCAUCCACUGGACCAAUAACUCAUAGUUUGAAGGAUUUUUACUUAAUGGAAGUGAGAAAACAGCCAGAUCAAAAGAAUUUCCAGGAGCCAAGACAGAAAACAUGCAGAGCAUUAGACAGCCUAAAUGGAGCUGGCUAGAUAUGACUCCAGUUGUGACCAAGCCAUAGUGCCCCCUAAGCUGGGUGAAGAGAACGGUGCCCAUCAGGCCAGAGAGAGCUGAAAGGGCCGUGAGGAUGCUAAGCAGGGAGUCUCCAACCCCCUGGGUACAGGCAUAGCCAGUGAUGAUGCCGCCAGACCCCAGAACUGUCAUGUAGAGGAAGACCAAGCACAAGCCAGCUAAGAAGACCAUCUGCCUGCAGUAGGCUUCCCAUCCCUCAUGGCACAUGCAGAGCAGCCUUUGCAUGUUUUAAAGGUGAAAAGGAGGCCGGGCGCAGUGGCUCAUGCCUAUAAUCCCAGCACUUUGGGAGGCCGAGGCAGACGGAUCACGAGGUCAGGAGAUCGAGGCCAUCCUGGCUAACACGGUGAAACCCCGUCUCUACUAAAAAUACAAAACAUCAGCCGGGCAUGGUGGUGGGCGCCUGUAUUCCCAGCUACUCGAGAGGCUGAGGCGGGACAAUGGCGUGAAUCCGGGAGGCGGAGCUUGCAGUGAGUCGAGAUCGCGCCACUGCACUCCAGCCUGGGUGACAGAGCGAGACUCUGUCUCAAAAAAAAAAAAAAAAAAAAAAGGUGAAAAGGAAAA